CCUACGGGCGGCAGCAGUGGGGAAUAUUGGACAAUGGGGGGAACCCUGAUCCAGCCAUGCCGCGUGUGUGAAGAAGGCCCUCGGGUUGUAAAGCACUUUCAGUGAGGAAGAACGCCUGGUGGUUAAUACCCAUCAGGAAAGACAUCACUCACAGAAGAAGCACCGGCUAACUCCGUGCCAGCAGCCGCGGUAAUACGGAGGGUGCGAGCGUUAAUCGGAAUUACUGGGCGUAAAGCGCGCGUAGGUGGCUUGAUAAGCCGGUUGUGAAAGCCCCGGGCUCAACCUGGGAACGGCAUCCGGAACUGUCAAGCUAGAGUGCAGGAGAGGAAGGUAGAAUUCCCGGUGUAGCGGUGAAAUGCGUAGAGAUCGGGAGGAAUACCAGUGGCGAAGGCAGCCUUCUGGACUGACACUGACACUGAGGUGCGAAAGCGUGGGUAGCAAACAGGAUUAGAUACCCCAGUAGUC
rnacentral:rRNA from 1 species